AAUAAAAAUAAAAAUAAAAAAAGAAAAGAAAAGGAACAUGUGCGGCAAGUUUUGUGAGGCGGAGGGCGCUCCAAGGGACAUGGAAAGCAGUGAAGAGGGAUAGGAGAAAAGGUUAAAGAAAUGGAGGGGUAGCAAUUGAAACCGGGAAUAUGUGGCUCAAAUCCGCAGGUUGAAGCUGCAGCGAUUCCUUAUCUCUCGCUCCCGUCUUCUUCUUGUUUCCCUUCUCGAUUCUCAACUGUUAUUAUUGUUGGCCAAGUAAAAGAGGUGUGUGUGUAGAGAGAGAGAGAUGGGUGGCUCUGAGGACGCGUCCGGCCGCAACACGGCCUGUGUCGCCUCCAGCGGCAGCCUCCGUGCGGCCUCCAGGGGGGAGGGCGACGAUGGCGCGGAGGAGGACGAGGAGGGGGAGGAGCCCCGGCGCCGCCCGAUCUGCCCCUCCGCCGCCGCGGGGUUUGAGGCCGGGUUCGGCAACGAGAGGGAGGUCAGCCUCCGGGAAUGGCUGGACCAGCCGGGGCGCGCGGUCGACCUCCUCCAGUGCCUCCAUAUCUUCCGGCAGAUCGCCGACGCGGUGAGCGCGGCCCACGCCCAGGGCGUCGUCGUCGGCAACGUCCGCCCCUCCUGCUUCGUCAUGUCCUCCCUCGACCGCGUCUCCUUCAUCGAGUCAGCCUCCUGCUCUUCCUCCUCCGACUCCUCCGAGGACGGCGCCGGGUCGCCCGACGGGUUCGGGGAGCGGGGCGCCACGGGAACUCCGGAGAGCGCCUCCGAGAUGCCGGCGGUCUCGGCGUGCUUGGAGGAGGCCAAGGAGCGUGGGGAGGGCGACGUGGGCGCGGGAGAUCGGACGGCGUUCCCGCUGAAGAAGAUCUUGCUGAUGGAGUCCAUCUGGUACACGAGCCCAGAAGAAGCCACCGGGCGAUCGGGUACAUUUGCGUCGGACAUCUAUCGAUUAGGCGUUCUUCUCUUCGAGCUGUUCUGCACGUUCGACUCGCUGGAAGAGAAGCUUAUAACCAUGUCCAACUUGAGACACCGGGUUCUACCACCGCAGCUGCUGCUCAAGUGGCCUAAGGAAGCUUCCUUCUGUCUGUGGCUCUUGCACCCUCAACCGGAUACCCGGCCGAAGAUGAGUGAGGUAUUACAUAGUGAGUUCCUUAAUCAACCAAGGGAUAGUCUGGAGGAGCGUGACGCAGCCAUUAAGUUAAAAGAAGAGAUUGAAGAUCAGGAAUUACUGCUGGAUUUUCUUUUGCAUUUGCAGCAAAGAAAGAAGGAAAUUGCUGAUCGGUUGCAUGAUACUGUCUGUUUUCUCUCUGCUGAUAUCGAGGAGGUCCUACAUCAGCAGUCAAUCCUCAAAAAGAAGUCAUACCAAGAACUGGACAAUGAUGAGCACUCAGCUGUGGGAACAUUGGAUAAAGCCUCAUUGCAUCCCGUGAUGGAUGAGCACUCAUACAGCUCUGGUUCUAGAAAACGCCUCAGACCUGAGCUUCAGAAUUUUGUUCCUGAGGAGAAUGUUGCUGAAGGUGCAAGAUCAGAAACAGAUCAGCAAAUUCAGGAAAAUGCAUUAUCAAAGAGCUCACGGUUGAUGAAGAACUUUAAAAAAUUGGAGGCAGCUUAUUUUUCUGCAAGAUGCAGGCAAAUGAAACCAUCAGGCAAAUCAGUAACCAAAUUCUUUCAAGUUACCAGUAGUGGCAGAGGGUCAAUGAUUAGGACCGAGGGAAGCUCAGUUGACGAUAAAGUAUAUAGGAGAGGAAAUACUGGUGAAACGAAAAGUGAAUGGAUAAAUCCUUUUCUUGAUGGCUUGCGCAAAUAUCUAGCAUUCAGCAAGUUGAAAGUUAGGGCUGACCUUAAGCAUGGUGAUCUGCUGAAUUCAAUGAAUUUAGUAUGUUCCAUGGGCUUUGAUCGGGAUAAAGAAUUUUUUGCUACUGCUGGUGUAAAUAAGAAAAUUAAGGUUUUUGAAUGUGACACAAUUCUGAAUGGUGACCGCGACAUUCAUUAUCCUGUAACAGAAAUGACAAAUACAUCAAAAAUAAGCUGUAUUUGUUGGAACAAUUAUAUUAAGAGCCAUAUAGCCUCCAGCGACUUCGAGGGUGUUGUACAGGUGUGGGAUGCUACGAGGAGCCAAGUUUUUGCAGAAAUGCGGGAGCAUGAGAGACGUGUAUGGUCUGUUGACUUCUCUCUUGCAGACCCAACAAAAUUGGCCAGUGGUAGUGAUGAUGGUGCUGUGAAGAUAUGGAAUAUCAAUCAGGCUGGAAGCGUGUGUACAGUCAAAACCAAGGCAAAUGUGUGCUCCGUUCACUUUCAACCGGAUUCUGCAUAUUCUCUUGCAAUUGGUUCUGCUGAUCAUAAGAUCUAUUGUUAUGAUCUGCGGAACUUGAGAAUACCUAGCUGUACACUAGCUGAUCAUAUGAAGACAGUGAGCUAUGUGAAAUACUUGGAUUCAUCAACUAUCGUAUCUGCAUCUACUGAUAGUUCAUUGAAGCUUUGGGACUUGUCCACAAGUAUAUCAAGAAUGAUAGAAACUCCUCUUCAGACUUUCACGGGGCAUAUAAAUAUAAAGAAUUUUGUUGGCCUGUCUAUUUCUGAUGGAUAUAUCGCGACAGGCUCUGAAACAAAUGAGUUUCUUUUGUCUUGGAUCAGGUUUUUGUCUAUUCCAAAGCUUUUCCUAUGCCAGUGUUGUCAUACAAAUUCAGCAUUAUCGACCCGAUAUCUGGCAAGGAAGUUGAUGACACAUCACAAUUCAUAUCUUCUGUGUGCUGGCGAGGCCAGACUUCCAUGUUGCUUGCUGCAAGUUCCAGCGGUAACAUUAAAUUCUUGGAGAUGGUUUAAGUUCAGUGUUCACAGAUAACGGCUGUCAUCUCGUGGUAAAAAGUUAGUGCAUUCAUCGCUUUGUCGAGCAGCAGAAGCAAUCAAGAAUGAUAAAAAGUGGCUGUGGUAGGAACGGUGAAGUUAGCAGGAGCCUCUACUUAAUUAUAGGUGAAGUAGUUAACAUAUUGUAUCAUAAAAAUGGAAAAGAAGAAGAGGAAGACUAAGAGGGAAUGGUUCAUGUACAUCAUUGGUUACAGGUAUAUAGUCGAUUACAUCAAGCUUUUCGAUCAACUGAUUGGGUUUCCUUGGUUAAAGGCUACAAGGGAAUGAAUGGUUCAUGUGCAUGCAUCACUAAUUAGAGGUACAUAGUUAAUCAGAUCAGGCUUUUCAAUCAAAUGUUUGGUUUUCCUGAUUAAAAGUUUGUUUCCACUGCAAUUUGGUGCAUUGGUAGGUCCACAUCUCAAGUUCAUCAGCAACAAAAAAAAUUGUUUUAGCUGUUCACCAUCUUUUUCUUUGAUAUUCUAGUGGGUAUAGCCUCUCGGAGGCCGAUGCUGCUGCCAUCGAGAUAAAACCGGCGCUUGCACAGUACACCCACCACUGUUUAGGCCCCCGUUGAUAGCAGCAGCAUCUCUCACAGAAUCAUUGUUGCAUGUGAUGUAUUCUCUCUUGUUUUUUUUUUUUUUUGAAGUUGUGGUUUGUUGGAAGUACUUUUUUGCCUAGUAAUUGAUGGAAAGACUGGUAGAUGUCGAGAUGCAGACGCUUCAUCAGUUUAUGGGGUUGGCUUACGAACCAUUGACAGGUGUGUGCAAUCUUCUCUCGGCAUGACUUAAAACUUAUUUGUCUGUUGAUCUUUGGUGUGCACGGUAGACUCCUCCAUUGGCACACGGUGUGCAACAUUGGAGUAAAGAAUACAUUUUACCGUGGAGCUUUGUUUUCUUAAUGUUGUAUGUCUCCAACACUGAGUCAUUGGAUCCGCAGGUGAGUACUGUCGAAAGUAGUGUUCUAUUCUACCCAGGAUGCAUAUUUUAUUGCCCUUUUUAGGAGAAGACCUACCCUGUUCCGAAACGUGGUACACUUUGGAUGGUAGAGAUUGUGGAGGACAUCGACGCUGUGGAUGUUGGUGGUACGUGUUUCAUGUUUGACAUAUGGUUUCAUUGUUCGGCCUUUCAAAAUUACCUAUUAGUUUUACUAGAAUAUGAAAAUGAUGAAAUCAUUCAUUUGAAUUUU